ensembl:lncRNA
UGCUUUGAUACGCCGGCACUUGCUCGGAGGUUCUCGGAGGUCUUCAAGACUGGCUUCAGAAGCAAACCGGCGCACUGAUUUUCGGCAGGGCUGUGACUGGGCUACUGCACAUCCUGGAACAGUUCCCCAAAAAUACAAGAGGUCAAUACGACACAAUUCUAGUUUCUUUCCUGCCACCAGAACAGAGGUACAGCUUCUACUUGACAGGAAUGUGGAAGGCAGGCUGCAAAGAAGUUGCUAAAUAUACAUACUUAGCACUUGAAGAAAUUGUCAGGGAACCUCAAAUCCCAGCUGAUUCCAAGAAAGCCAAGGGACUAGGGAUCUGCCAGCCUCUUCCUGUUUCUCAGAGCAAUUUGUGUCAAGGCAUGCCCUCUGUUGCGAAGGAUUGCUGGUGAGUGUCAUUUACAACAGUGCAAUGCA